AUGCGUAGAGAUCGGGAAGUACAGCGGUGGCGAAGGCGGCCUGCUGGGACAGUGCUGACGCUGAGGCACGAAAGCGUGGGGAGCGAACGGGAUUAGAUACCCCGGUAGUCCACGCGGUAAACGAUGGAUACUAGAUGUUGGACACGGUGAAGUGUUCAGUGUCGAGACAAAUGCGAUAAGUAUCCCGCCUGGGGAGUACGACCGCAAGGUUUAAACUCAAAGGAAUUGACGGGGGCCCGCACAAGCGGUGGAGCAUGUGGUUUAAUUCGAUGCAACGCGAAGAACCUUACCCGGAUUUGACAUCGUUCGGACCGUCUCUGGAGACAGAGACGUUCUGUUCGGAGACCGAAGUGACAGGUGCUGCAUGGCUGUCGUCAGCUCGUGUUGUGAAAUGUUGGGUUAAGUCCCGCAACGAGCGCAACCCUUGUUCUUAGUUGCCAGCAUUAAGAUGGGCACUCUAAGAAGACUGCCGAGGUUAACUCGGAGGAAGGUGGGGAUGACGUCAAGUCCUCAUGGCCCUUAUGUCCGGGGCUACACACGUGCUACAAUGGUAUAGACAGAGGGAAGCUACGCCGCAAGGCCACGCGGAUCCUCAAACUGUAUCACAGUUCGGAUCGGGGUCUGCAACUCGACCUCGUGAAGGUGGAAUCGCUAGUAAUCGCGGAUCAGCAUGCCGCGGUGAAUAAGUUCCCGGGCCUUGUACACACCGCCCGUCACACCAUGGAAGUUGUCUUCACUGGAAGAUGCUGAGCCAGCCAGGCAGG
rnacentral:rRNA from 1 species